UGACUGCUGUCCCGAAUGAGGAACGUGCCCUCUGGGGCCGCCUCAAGGAGUGAAUGGGCCUCACUGGCUGUGAUGGUGCCCCAGUACCACCCUAAAAAAGGAGAAACAAACAAGAAGUUUGAGGACAACUCUCAAAACUGAAAACUACUUGAAACAUCACUACUUUCCACAGUGAUGUUUGUUGGUAAAUGAGACCUUUUUGCUGUACUCGUGUUCGAUGCACGUGAAUCGAAGAGGCCUGUGGCUGAAUGCGUGUUGUGAUGACAUCACAUGAGGCUGCUGCGAAUAUUGCCGAGUUCCCUUGAUUUAGCGUUAAUUUCUGCGAUCGCCAAAAAAUCACUAAACCCUGCAGGAACUGGUUAUGACUGGAACAUUUGUGAAUUUAAAUGGCAGAACUGACAGAGAAACUUCUAUGUCCUUGUGCAACACUCUCAGGUGCUUAGUUUUAUGCUUGGAUUGUGGGCAGCCUUGCAUGUAAGAUACUCUGGAUAAGAGCAGUAGACAAAUGAAUAAAUAUAAGUAAUGUAAAUGUAAAUUUUCCCAGGAAAGCCUUAAGACUAAGACACAAUUUUCAUGACUCAACUGACCUACGCCAAGCUGUGUGCUCCAGCCUGUCUGCUGCCGUUGCCAUUUUGUCUACUUCCUAUGAUUAACACUCCUUGGUUGAACAGAACACGUUGCUCUCAUUCCAAAGCCAUGACCAUACACUCGUUAGACUAUGGCUGUAAACGUGAUCUCUUGCACACAUGGAUAUAUUUAUCGCAACAAUGCAAUGUGCAUUUGUACCUGAUUCUCAGGAAUGAAUGUCUGAAACAUUAUUAAAGCGUUUACCUGAAGCAUCGAGGUAACAGAAGUUGCUGGUGAUGGUGCACAGUUCUUUGCUGGAUUCCCAGAACUUGGGGGUGCUCUGGAGACAACGUGCUGAUGAGGAAGAGACAACUGAAACCCCAAGAGGAACCACCUGAGACUGCGAGUCUCCUAACAGAGCUCUGG